GCCUUCACAUUAACAAUCUGCCACUUCUGCAAUCAAGAAAUCCACUGAUGUGACAUGUCAGCGCUCAAUGGGAGGAGGCUUGACUACCUUAGCAAACCGAUGCAUUCCUCGAUGGAAAACCUGGGUUUUAGGUCCUCUUUCACGGAUGAGUUUCUUUCACUCAGUCCUCGGUCCUUCGAGGAGAUGCUCUGUGCAUGGGGCAUGCCAGAUGUGGCUGGACAUUUUGCAAUGUGGAGAUCUUCCCAGUAAGUACUGUUCUGAGACCAGCAUGUUUGCUUCAUUGAUGUUGUUGCAUAAGCUUUAGCUGUUACUGAGGUCAAAAAACUCCUUUUAAACUUUUUGUUCUCCAAGUUUUAUUGUGGCUGAAAUAUAUCAUGUGUUAACUAGCUGGUGGUCUAAGUGAAACGAAAUGGUGUAGUAAGAGCCAUGUGUAUGCUAGGAAUACAGGUUACAGAAUUGUCAAUCUGCAUACGUGAUUUAGUGUUGUAAAAUCUUUAAAAAUAUCUUGCUUUAAGAAAAGGUAAAGCAAAUAAGCUGGGAAAUUAAAGGCUGAGACAUUG